GGCAGGAAGAUAUGCCUUUGUUUUUGGAAUCAGAUAUAUGCCAUCGCUUGAGAAGUUCCCUAUCAAUUCUAUAUAUCCAAUCCAAGAUUUCUAAAUCUGUGACCAUGUCCUGAGAGACUUAAAUAUUUACAGGUUAUCUUUGAAAGAUUAAAGAUUGAUGUUAAUUUAAAAAUAGAUUAUUACAGCUUCAACAGUAUUAAAAGCUUGCUUGGAAGCAC
rnacentral:lncRNA from 1 species